rnacentral:rRNA from 1 species
UACGGGGGGAGCAAGGGUUGUUCGGAUUUACUGGGCGUAAAGGGCGCGUAGGCGGCCACCGCAAGUCGACUGUGAAAUCUCCGAGCUUAACUCGGAACGGUCAGCUGAUACUGAUGUGCUAGAGUGCAGAAGGGGCAAUCGGAAUUCUUGGUGUAGCGGUGAAAUGCGUAGAUAUCAAGAGGAACACCUGAGGUGAAGACGGGUUGCUGGGCUGACACUGACGCUGAUGCGCGAAAGCCAGGGGAGCAAACGGG